GAUAGCCUCUACUCCAAUUCAAAAAAUUACUUUAAUCUUUUAGUAGGUACUACAAUCCACACAGACUGCACAUGAGCCCAAAUUUGCUCAAUCAAUCCAUAUGCAUCUAUGGAUAGGUUCUUAACCAAUUAUUUUAUCAAAUAAUUUUUAGUAAUUAAUUUUGCCCUAAGCUUCUCUUUAGCAAGUAUUUAUGCCUCCACUGAAAAUCUUGAUUAGAUCCACCAUUAACAUGACCAUACUAAGCACAUCUAACUAACGAAUAAUUAGGCUCGAGUUUGCUCAGCCAACCUGACCACCCA
rnacentral:lncRNA from 1 species